rnacentral:misc_RNA from 1 species
AACGGUCUAUACCUGCGGUACCUGCGGAGGGAUCAUUAUAGAAAAAAAACCUUUUAACAGAAGUGAUGAGAGAAAAGAGGGGGAGAGGGGAGAGAGAAUGAGUUAAUUCUCAUUCUCACUCACUCACUCACUUUCUCUCUCUUGUCAUUUCUGAACAAACAAACAUACGUGACUAAGAAAAACCAAAGAUUGAGAGAUUUGAUUUGAUAUCUCUCUCAAAAGUUCCUGUCUGAUAAGUAG